GACGAACGCUGGCGGCGUGCCUAAUACAUGCAAGUCGAACGCAGUGGGGACGGGUGAGUAACACGUGGGUAACCUCCCAUCAGAGGGGAUAACACUUGGAAACAGGUGCUAAACCGAUACUGAUGGAUGGACCCGCGGUGCAUUAGCUAGUUGGUGAGGUAACGGCGCACCAAGGCCACGAUGGAUAGCCGGCCGGAGAGGGGGAGCGGCCACACUGGGACAGAGACACGGCCCAGACUCCUAGGUGAGGCAGCAGGGGGGAAUCGUGGGCAAGGGACGAAAGUCUGAUCGAGCAAGGCGGCGUGAGUGAAGAAGGUUUGCGGGUCGUAAAACUCUGUUGGUAGAGAAGCGGUACCUAACCAGAAAGCCACGGCUAAAUACGUGCCAGCAGCCGCGGUAAGAC
rnacentral:rRNA from 1 species